CUAAAUUGGUAAUUUUCAUGUUUUUGGCCUUCUAGUAGAUUAUAUGAACUGUGUAAGCUUGUUCCUAAGGCAUGUAGUUAAGAAUUUUGCUCGUAAUAUCGCAAGUAGCUAGACCAUCAACACAUGAUUCGUAUGAGUACAAAAGUGUUCAUAAUAAUAUCAGAUCAUACAUCAAGCUGAUCAUCAACUCAUAUUUUUCCCCUUAAUUAUGACCACUUGGUCUUUUUAUAGAUCCACUUCAGAGGAUUACAAAUAUAGUACUAUUACUAUAUACUUGACUUUAAGUUGCUUUUUAGAGCAAUUAUUUAAGUUCUUGAUAUCAAGCAGAACAAUCCAUACAUAUUAACGUGAAAUGGACGUAGGUCGUUUCAAUUAGUAUGGACUUUCGCCUCUAUAAUUACCUGGAGGAUCAUAGUUGCAAGAGACAACAUAUCCUCCAUUGUUACACUGAACCCUAGCACAUCCAACACGAACCGAGUUACGCCAAACCACCUGAGUAUAGUGUCCACACACCUGUCCUUGUGCACAAGUAUUUGAGUCAUGGUCAUAAUACUGUUUCUCAUCGACCCACAUCUCAACGGCCUUAGCAGCCGUCAUGAAAUCGCCACUUCCCUCAGCUAGGUUUUCGCCGUAUUGACCAUGAGAAUGUACGAGGUUACAAUCUGCAGCCAAUUGGGAAGCAUAAUUUUGCGCAUAGGCUGCUACCUGGUCGUCCCAGGUCAAAGGUUCUACACCUACAUCUGCACGAGCUGUGUUAUGGGCAUCCAAAUAGUCUUGUUGAGAAUUUUGGGCACGGCAAGAGUGGGAUAUUACUAGGAAUAAGAGAAGUGUAGAGACAAGAAGAAAUGAAGGCAAUUGUGAAAAGAGAACAAAUCCCAUGACUAUAGGAGAAAUGUUGUAUCUUGAAUGGAAAAACUAGAUUUACUACCAAGGGUAUUUAUAGGAGAAAUCUUGAAGAUUUCACGGUGAUUAUUCAUGUACUUACUAAAUUUUUUGACAUGGUAAUAUCAAUGUAAUAUAUCCUGUUAUAGAUAAUUUAUCCUAUUUUCUAGGUUACCAUAUUAAACUUAUAUAUGCAGUUACCAAUUGUUGUAAAAUAGUUUUACCCGAUGUUGCAAAAUAAUUUUAAAUUGUCAAUGCAUGAAGUUAAACACUUUUUUGAUCUAUCAGAUGUGCUUUUUGUUAAAUAAAGUAGACUGGUUAUGGUUAAUGUGUUAAUUAAUAUUUUCUACAUUUAACGAUCUGAUUAAUUUUUACUUCCAUAUUUAUAUCUCUUUUUUUUCAGAAUGGGAAUGUCCAUUGGAAAAAGAAUUUAAAAUAAAUACUUUGAUGUUUGAUUUUUCUAAUAAUCUUAUUUCUAAAUCUUAUAUUAUAUUUCUUAUAUGUACAAUCAAUUCUCUAAAAGAAAAAACUAUAAUAAUACCAAACACAGUUUGUGUCUUCUUCUUUCUUUUCUCAAUAUUUGUGGAAAACUUGAACAUGGCCGUCAUCUCGAUGACGUUAAAUAACUAUCAAAUUUGGACGUAAAGAAUAUUUGGAUAUUCUUCAGUUCUUUCUCUAAUUUCCUUCCCUUAAUUUCCAACUUGAUGUUACUCAUGUACUAUCAUACUUUUCUAUUAUCUCAUUCCAAUCACGGCUUGAUCUGGAGUAUAAAUAAAUUUCUAUUUUCUUAUCCCAAUCACGACUUGACUUUAGAUUCAAAUGGAGUAUUUUUUUAUUUUUUGUAAAUAGCUUAUGUUUAUUUCGUUUUUCGACAUUAGUGGAAAAGAAAGCUCAAGUUUUAGUGAAGCUAGAGUUUGAAAUCCUCGAGGGUGUUUUAAGAUUUAACUACUUUAUUUUUCCAAGAAAUAGCACCCUAAAGCAUCUCGCUGUAAUGGCGUUCACUUAUUUUCCCUUUAAUUUAAAUGGAUAAAUGACAACCAAACUCCUUAAAAAGACUUCGGCCAAUGCUUUAGGUGGUGAAGUAUAGACCCAAUACUUACAAGAGAGACCAGUGUUUUUGUUAUGCAAAAAGAGUAAUUGAAGAAUUUUGUAACUAUUGCCAUUUAGCAAUUUGNNNNNNNNNNCNNUCACUUUUGUUUGACAUGUAUACUAAAAAUAGAUUUUCAUUUUUACUUUUCACUUUAUGCAUGUUAAGAGAAGACAAUUUUUUUUUCCUGUUAUACCCACAGUAUUUAUUACUCAUUUCAAAUCAUUUUCUCAAAUCCAAUAAAAUAUGCAUCAAUUAAUAUGGGUAUCAUGGUAAAUUAUGCAUUUCAAUCAUUUUUUCUUAAAGGGUUUGAAAAAUCAAAACGUGUCAAGUAAAAGUAAACAGAGUACAUAUUAUUGUAAAUUAACUUAUCGUGAUGAUUAAAAAAAUUAUAGUCUAUUAGAUGCAAAAAAAAAAAAAAUGAAAACUUAGACCCUACACUAUGAUAAUUGACAUCCUCGUAUAUCUUAGUCCUUAAAAACGUUUAUGUGCUACGAUCCCUAGGUAAAGGUUUGCGCCAUCAGGGUCGCAAAUUGUGCCUCACGACUUGACUAUAAGAUCAAAAUUAAGGUAUCUUAAUUAAUUUAUUCUAUUGAUAAUAGAGCUUAAAAUUCAAAUGUUCUUGAGGUUUUACUUUUCUUAUUGCAAUACAUUCCUCAUUAACUUUAUAGAACAAAAAAAAUGAUACAGUGAGAAAUCAUAGUUGCAAAUCUGAUUGUCAAGAUUUAUCAGAUUUGGGUUCAAAGAAAGUAGAAUAACUUUAUCUUUCAGCAAAUUUGUAUGGACUUAUUUGAGUUAUGCAUUGCUUGGUUCAUCUCUUAUGAUGUAUUGAAGGUUCUCUACGUAGCAUGUCAUGAGUGAAGAAUCAAAAUAGAAUUGCAAGCUCAAUAUUAAAAAGAAUAACUGAAAGUAGAAUUGAAAUUUUUGUGGAAGAAAAUAAUUGGAUAGUUUAUUCAAUUCACGAAUGGCCUUAUAUAGGCAUACAAAUUAGCUUGAAUAUGUUAUCCCACUAAACAAACUCUCCUAAACUUUAGGAAAAAUAUCUGCAACUAACAAUAACAAAAUAACAACUUGAAGCUAAAAACUAGCUAUACUACUGACUUAGUCAACACUACAAGUUGUACAUGGCACAAGUGCAGGAUUAAAGUUGCAGGCACCAUCAGCGUCGUACAUUGUGCUACAGCCUACAAGAGUUGACUCCAACACAAAGAAUGAGAAAAGAAUCAAUACAAACGGAAAGGUAAACAUCUUUACUGGGAUUGUGAAUGCUUUUAUUUGUUUUGAUUCCUUUUAGGCAAUUCGGAUCAGGUUAACCCGGAUUCAUGUAGAUGACGUGAAUUAUAGCACACGAAAAUUUGUAAAUCGACCCGAAUUUCAGUUUUUUAUCCCUAAAAUGCCAAAAGAAGAGGAACGGUCAUGCUGAAGCCAUGAUUAUUGUUCAUUAGGUUAUUUUUUAUGGCCCCGCAAACUGAAAAUUCUGGAUAUCGGGUAGAAUUCCAGCUUUACGGUCGUAAAACACAAAACACGAGGAACGGUCAUGGCAAGGAAAUGACUAAUAUUCCUUAGAUCAUUUUUUAUGGGACGGUAAAAUGGCGACUCGGGUCUGGUCGCUCGAACUAUGCAGAUGGCAUGGGCUAUAGCACACAAAAAUUUAGAAAUCAAGUAGAAUUCCAGUUUUGUGGGCCUAAAAUGCCAAAUAAUGAGUAAACGAUGACUAGUAUUUCUUAGGUCAUUUUUUAUUGGUCGGAAAUUUUUUAGGUGAUUCGGGUCCAGUCGUCCAGACCCAUGUAGAUGACGUAAGCUAUAACACACGAAAAUCUAGGAAUUAUACGGAAUUAAAAAAUUUAUGGCCCUAAAAUACCCAAAAAUGAGGAAUGGUCAUGGCGAGGCGAAGACUAAUGUUCCUUAAGUCGUUCUUGAUGGGCCAAAAACUUUUUAGGCGAUUCAGGUCUAAUCGCUCAGACCCAUGCAAAUGGCGCGAGUUAUAUAGCACAGAAAAUUUGGAAUUGGUCGAAUUCCAAUUUGUUGGCCUUAAAAUGCCAAAAAAUGAAGAACGGUCAUGCUUAAGUCAUGACUAUUGUUCAUUAGGUAAUUUUUAUGGCCCUGCAAAAUUUUAGUUUAUUCGAAUUCGGUAGUCUGAAUUCAUGCAUAUGGCUAUAGCACACGAAAAUUUGAAAAACGACCUGAAUUCUAAUUUUUUGGCCCUAAAAUGAAAAAAAAAGGAACAUUGUUCAUUCAGUCAUUUUUUAUGGUCCCGCAAAAUCUUAGGCGAUUCCAAUCCAGUAGCCCAGAUUCAUGCAGAUGCGUGGACUAUAACACAUGAAAAAUUAGAAAUCUGCCGGAAUUUCAAUAUUUUGGCACUAAAAUGCCUAAAAAUAAGGAACGGUUACGCCGAAGCCGUGACUAUUAUUCAUUAGGUCACUUUUAUGGUCCAGUAAAAUUUUAGGAGAUUCAGAUCGGGUAGCCCUGAUUCAUGUAGAUGGCGUGGAUUAUAGCAUACGAAAAUUUGGAAAUCUGCCCGAAUUCUAAUUUUUUGGCCUUAAAAUACCAAAAAUCGAGGAAUGGUAAUGCCAAAAUCAUGAUUAUUGUUGAUAAGUUCAUUUUUUAUGACCCCGUAAAAUCUUAGGCGAUUCGGAUCCGGUAGCCUGGAUUCAUGCAAAUGGUGUAGACGAUAACACAUGAAAAUUUGAAAAUCGACCCCAAUUAUAGUUUUUUGGCCCUAAAAUGCAAAAGCCUAGGAACGUCCAUGUUGAAGCAAUGACUAUUAUUCGUUAGGUAAUUUCUUAUGAUCGUGUAAAAUUUUAGUCAAUUCGGAUCCAGUAUCCCGGAUUCAUGCAGAUGGCCUGGACUAUAAAGGAAAUUUGGAAAUUGGCCUAAUUCCAGUUUUUUGGCCCUAAAAUGCAAAAAAUAAGGAAAUGUCAUGCCGAAAACCAUGAAAAUGAUUCAUUAGGUUAUUUUUGUGGUCCCUCCAAAUUUUAGGAUAUUCAAAUCUGGUAACCCGAAUUCAUGCACAUAGAACGGAUUAUAACACACGAAAAUUUAAAAAUCGACCUGAAUUCUAUCUUUUUAGACCUUAAAUGCCAAAAAAGAGGAACAGUCAUGCCGAAGCCAUGACUAUUGUACAUCAUUUUUUAUGGACCCCGCAAAAUUUUAGGCGAUUUAGAUCCGGUAGGCCAGAUUAUUGUAGAUGGCGUGGACUAUAGCAUGCAAAAAAUUAGAAAUCGGCCCGAAUUCUAGUUUUUUGCCCUAAAUUGCCAAAAAAACAGGGAACGAUAUGUCGAAGCCAUGACUAUUAUUCAUUAAGGCAUUUUUUAUAGCCCCAUAAAAUUCGAUAUCCACACCUAAAAUAGCUAUCACUUCGCCAUGAUUGUUCAUUGUUUUUUGAAUUUUAAGACCAUAAAACAGGAAUUCAGGAUAACUUCUAGAUUUUCGUGUGUUAUAGUCCGUGCAUCUACAUGACUCGGGUGUCCGGUCCCGAAUUUACUAAACUUUUGCAGUCCAAUAAAAAAUGACCUAAUGAAUAAUAGUCAUCGUUUCGCCAUGAUCGUUUCUCAUUUUUGCUGUUUUAGGGCCACAAACAGAAAUUCAUGACGAUUCCCAGAUUUGCGUGUGCUCUAGUCCACGCUAUCUGUAUAAAUUCUGGUGACUAUUUUAGAAUCUCCUAAAAUUUUGUAGGCCCAUCAAAACUGACAUAAUGAACAAUAGCCACCGCUUUCUCGUGAUUAUUCCUCAUUUUUUUGGCGUUUUAGAGCCAUAAAAUAGGAAUUCAGGACGAUUCCCAGAUUUUAGUGUGCUAUAGUCCACGCUAUUUGCAUGAAUUCAUGCGACCGACUUCGAAACUCCUAAAAAUUUUGGGUUCCAUAAAAAUUGACCGGAUGAUCAAUAGUCAUCGCUUCGCCAUUACCCACCGUCUUUAUUUGGCAUUUUAAGGCUAUAAAAUAGAAAUUCAAGACGAUUCUCAAAUUUUCGUGUACUAUAAGUCUACACCAUAUGCAUGAAUUCGGGCGACCGAACCAGAAUCUCCUAAAAUUUUGUGGAACUAUAAAAACGACCUAAUUAGUAAUAAUCAUCGUUUCACCAUGAUUGUGCCUCAUUUUUUGGCUUUUUGGACCAUAAAACAGGAAUUCAAGAUGAUUCCUAUUUUUGUGUGCUAUAGUCCAUGCCAUUUGCAUAAACUCGGGCAACCGGCCUAGAAUCUAUUUUGCGAGCCCAUCUAGAACGAUGUAAUGAACAAUAGACAUAGAUUCGCCAUGACUGUUCUUUAGUUUUUGGCGUUUUAGGGCCAUAAAAUAGGAAUUCAAGACUAUU
rnacentral:lncRNA from 1 species